rfam:Paraphaeosphaeria sporulosa strain AP3s5-JAC2a unplaced genomic scaffold CC84scaffold_2, whole genome shotgun sequence.
UCCUCCGUGGCGCAAUUGGCUAGCGCGUCUGACUGUUAAGUCCUCGUCGACAAAGCGAUCAGGAGGUUCGUGGUUCGAGCCCACGCGGGGGAG